rnacentral:lncRNA from 10 species
CUACUUUCGGAUCCAGGAGGUGCUGAAGCACGCCAGGCACUUCCGGGGAAGGAAAAAUCGCUGCUACAGGUUGGCGGUCAGAACCGUGAUUCGAGCCUUUGUGAAAUGCACCAAAGCCCGAUACCUGAAGAAAAAGAACAUGAGGACCACGGAGUCUCGCGCUGUCACCCAGGCUGGAGUGCAAUGGCGCGAUCUAGGCUUAAUGCAACCUCGUCUCCCGGGUUCAAGCGAUUUUCCCGCCCCAGUCUCCCGAGUAACUGUGACUGCAGCUCUGGAUUAAUCGAAUUACAGCUGCUAGCCAGGAACAUGGACUGAAGUAUCCAGCGCUCAUUGGGAAUUUAGUUAAGUGCCAGGUGGAGCUCAACAGGAAAGUCCUAGCGGAUCUGGCCAUCUACGAGCCAAAGACUUUCAAAUCUUUGGCUGCCUUGGCCAGUAGGAGGCGACACGAAGGAUUUGCUGCUGCCUUGGGGGAUGGGAAGGAACCUGAAGGCAUUUUUUCCAGAGUGGUGCAGUACCACUGAGGACUGUUGCUGUAUUGAUUAGGAAAAGAGACAGAGUAAUUUGCAGUUUGUUUGAUUUAUACUUUUGUUUAUCUACAACCCAAUAACAGACAUGAGGGAUGGCCCUGUCUCUCUGGGACAGAGCCUCACAGAUGAUGUCCAUGUUUUGUGUGAAUGAAACUCAAACACUCUUC